CAGUCGCCGCGGUAAUACGGAGGGUGCAAGCGUUAAUCGGAAUUACUGGGCGUAAAGCGUGCGUAGGCGGUUCGUUAAGUCUGUUGUGAAAGCCCCGGGCUCAACCUGGGAAUGGCAAUGGAUACUGGCGAGCUAGAGUGUGUCAGAGGAUGGUGGAAUUCCCGGUGUAGCGGUGAAAUGCGUAGAGAUCGGGAGGAACAUCAAUGGCGAAGGCGGCCAUCUGGGACAACACCGACGCUGAGGCACGAAAGCGUGGGGAGCAAACAGGAUUAGAUACCCCCGUAGUCCCUGUCUCUUAUAC
rnacentral:rRNA from 1 species